rnacentral:lncRNA from 1 species
GGCACAACCUGUGGACUAGCAGGCUGCGCGCCCAAGAAGAACGAGUGACCCACGACGCACAUCCCUGCAGGUAGGCCAACAAGGGCACAUCGAAAAGACCCGAGGGACGACCCUCAUCCUAAGACCUAACCCAGCGGGUCCGCACCUAAAGAAAAAGAAGACUUCGGGUCAAUCACACAACCCAACAAGCCGACUGUGACAACUAGCCUAGCAGCUGCCACGGGCCCAGUCGAGGAGAAAGUCAGGCAGACCGCAGA